GACAGAGGUGCCGAGCGUUAGGCGGAAUCACUGGGCUUAAAGCGUGUGUAGGCGGCCCGUUAAGUGUCUUGUGAAAUCCCCCGGCUCAACCGGGGAACUGCUGGGCAUACUGGCGGGCUUGGGUCGCUCAGGGGCAGACGGAACAGGCGGUGGAGCGGUGAAAUGCGUAGAUAUCUGGAGGAACACCGACGGCGCAGGCAGCGUCCUGGCCGCUUGCUGACACUGAGGCACGAAAGCUGGUGGAGCAAACAGG
rnacentral:rRNA from 1 species